GGUUAAGCUACUAAGAGCACACGGAGGAUGCCUAGGCGCUAGGAGCCGAUGAAGGACGUGGCGAACAACGAAACUGCCUCGGGGAGCUGUAAGCAAGCUUUGAUCCGGGGAUGUCCGAAUGGGGAAACCCAGCUGGGGUAAUUUCCAGUUACUCAUAACUGAAUACAUAGGUUAUGUAGAGGCAUACCAGGGGAACUGAAACAUCUAAGUACCCUGAGGAAGAGAAAACAAUAGUGAUUCCGUCAGUAGCGGCGAGCGAACGCGGAGAAGCCCAAACCAGAGAGCUUGCUCUUUGGGGUUGUGGGACGUCUCACAUGGAGUUACAAAGGAACCGGUUAAGCGAAGAGGUCUGGAAAGGCCCGCCAAAGAAGGUAAAAGCCCUGUAGUUGAAAGUUGGUUCCCUCCGAGACGGAUCCCGAGUAGUGCGGGGCACGUGAAACCCCGUAUGAAUCCGGCAGGACCAUCUGCCAAGGCUAAAUACUUCCUAGCGACCGAUAGUGAAGCAGUACCGUGAGGGAAAGGUGAAAAGCACCCCGGAAGGGGAGUGAAAUAGAACCUGAAACCGUGUGCUUACAAAAAGUCAGAGCCCGUUUUAGGGGUGAUGGCGUGCCUUUUGUAGAAUGAACCGGCGAGUUACGUUCCCGUGCAAGGUUAAGGUGAAGAGCCGGAGCCGCAGCGAAAGCGAGUCUGAAUAGGGCGACAUAGUACGUGGACGUAGACCCGAAACCGGGUGAUCUACCCCUGUCCAGGGUGAAGGUGCGGUAACACGCACUGGAGGCCCGAACCCACGCACGUUGAAAAGUGCGGGGAUGAGGUGGGGGUAGCGGAGAAAUUCCAAUCGAACUCGGAGAUAGCUGGUUCUCCCCGAAAUAGCUUUAGGGCUAGCCUCGGAAAACAGAGUCGUGGAGGUAGAGCACUGAUUGGGUGCGGGGCCCGCAAGGGUUACCAAGCUCAGUCAAACUCCGAAUGCCAUAGACUUACUUCCGGGAGUCAGACAGUGAGUGCUAAGAUCCAUUGUCAAAAGGGAAACAGCCCAGACCAUCAGCUAAGGUCCCCAAGUGUGUGUUAAGUGGGAAAGGAUGUGGAGUUGCACAGACAACCAGGAUGUUGGCUUAGAAGCAGCCACCAUUGAAAGAGUGCGUAAUAGCUCACUGGUCGAGUGACUCUGCGCCGAAAAUGUAACGGGGCUAAACACACCACCGAAGCUAUGGCUUGAUCGU
rnacentral:rRNA from 1 species